AACGCUAGCUACAGGCUUAACACAUGCAAGUCGAGGGGCAGCGGGGUUGAAGCUUGCUUCAACUGCCGGCGACCGGCGCACGGGUGAGUAACACGUAUGCAACCUGCCCGUCACAGGGGAAUAACCGGAAGAAAUUCCGACUAAUUCCGCGUAACACUGUUAUCAGGCAUCUGAUUACAGUCAAAGGAUUUAUCCGGUGACGGAUGGGCAUGCGGCGCAUUAGCUAGUCGGCGGGGUAACGGCCCACCGAGGCGACGAUGCGUAGGGGUUCUGAAGAGGAAGGUCCCCCACACUGGUACUGAGACACGGACCAGACUCCUACGGGGAGGCAGCAGUGAAGGAAUAUUGGUCAAUGGGCGAGAGCCUGAACCAGCCAAGUCGCGUGAGGGAAGACGGCCUACGGGUUGUAAACCUCUUUUGUCAGGGAGCAAAAGGCGGUACGUGUACCGCAAAGGAGAGUACCUGAAGAAAAAGCAUCGGCUAACUCCGUGCCAGCAGCCGCGGUAAUACGGAGGAUGCGAGCGUUAUCCGGAUUUAUUGGGUUUAAAGGGUGCGUAGGCGGAAUGCCAAGUCAGCGGUAAAAUUACGGGGCUCAACCUCGCCGAGCCGUUGAAACUGGUGUUCUUGAGUGGAAGAGAAGUAUGCGGAAUGUGUGGUGUAGCGGUGAAAUGCAUAGAUAUCACGAAGAACUCCGAUUG
rnacentral:rRNA from 1 species